CUACGGGGUGCUGCAGUGGGGGAUAUUGCACAAUGGGGGAAACCCUGAUGCAGCAACGCCGCGUGAAGGAAGACGGUUUUCGGAUUGUAAACUUCUAUCAGCAGGGAAGAAAAUGACGGUACCUGACUAAGAAGCCCCGGCUAACUACGUGCCAGCAGCCGCGGUAAUACGUAGGGGGCAAGCGUUAUCCGGAAUUACUGGGUGUAAAGGGUACGUAGGCGGCUGAUCAAGUCAGAUGUGAAAGCCCGGAGCUCAACUCCGGGACUGCAUUUGAAACUGGUCGGCUAGAGUGCAGGAGAGGAAAGUGGAAUUCCUAGUGUAGCGGUGAAAUGCGUAGAUAUUAGGAAGAACACCAGUGGCGAAGGCGGCUUUCUGGACUGUAACUGACGCUGAGGUACGAAAGCGUGGGGAGCGAACAGGAUUAGAUACCCUUGUAGUC
rnacentral:rRNA from 1 species